rnacentral:rRNA from 1 species
AAGACCUUGCGCUUUUGGAGCGGCCGAUGUCUGGUUAGCUUGUUGGUAAGGUAAAAGCUUACCAAGGCUUCGAUCAGUAGCUGGUCUGAGAGGACGACCAGCCACACUGGGACUGAGACACGGCCCAGACUCCUACGGGAGGCAGCAGUGGGGAAUUUUGGACAAUGGGGGCAACCCUGAUCCAGCCAUGCCGCGUGAGUGAAGAAGGCCUUCGGGUUGUAAAGCUCUUUCAGCCGGAACGAAACGGUUACGGUUAAUACCCGUGACUACUGACGGUACCGGAAGAAGAAGCACCGGCUAACUACGUGCCAGCAGCCGCGGUAAUACGUAGGGUGCGAGCGUUAAUCGGAAUUACUGGGCGUAAAGCGUGCGCAGGUGGUUUUGUAAGUCAGAUGUGAAAUCCCCGGGCUCAACCUGGGAACU